rnacentral:rRNA from 1 species
UAACGCGUGAGGAACCUGCCUUUCAGAGGGGGACAACAGUUGGAAACGACUGCUAAUACCGCAUAAUGCAUAGGUAUCGCAUGGUACAGAUGCCAAAGAUUUAUCGCUGAGAGAUGGCCUCGCGUCUGAUUAGCUAGUUGGUAGGGUAACGGCCUACCAAGGCGACGAUCAGUAGCCGGACUGAGAGGUUGGCCGGCCACAUUGGGACUGAGAUACGGCCCAGACUCCUACGGAAGGCAGCAG